UGAAGAGUUUGUCCAACGGCGGGGGAUAGCCGGCCCAACGGCCGGGUAAUACCGCGUACGACCCUCGGGGGGCAUCCCCUGAAGGUGAAAGCCGCAAGGCGCCGAUGGAGAACUUCGCGGCCUAUCAGCUAGUUGGUGAGGUCAUGGCUCACCAAGGCGACGACGGGUAGCUGGUCCGAGAGGACGACCAGCCACACUGGAACUGAGAUACGGUCCAGACUCCUACGGGAGGCAG
rnacentral:rRNA from 1 species